GAUCCUGGCUCAGGACGAACGACUGGCGGCGUGCCUAAUACAUGCAAGUCGAACGAACUCUGGUAUUGAUUGGUGCUUGCAUCAUGAUUUACAUUUGAGUGAGUGGCGAACUGGUGAGUAACACGUGGGAAACCUGCCCAGAAGCGGGGGGAUAACACCUGGAAACAGAUGCUAAUACCGCAUAACAACUUGGACCGCAUGGUCCGAGUUUGAAAGAUGGCUUCGGCUAUCU
rnacentral:rRNA from 1 species